AUGUCAAAGGUCGCUUGGCCUCGCUGACCACAACAAGCAAGUUAAUCUACCCCGGCGCGGACUCUGGCUUGUCCAAGAAAACACUCCGGUCCUUUUUUCCCCCCCUCUCUCUCUUUCCCUCUCUAACUCUGUCUGUCUCCCUCUCCUUCUCUCCCCCUCUCUCUCCCUCUCUCUUCAGCGCUUUAAUUGCUUUGCGGAGUGUCAUAGCCGGGAAGCAGAGGGAGAGGUGCUGCACACACUCGCACCGGCUGCACCCAGCCAAAAGGCAGCACGUUCACUGGGCUCAGUGUAAACAACGGAUUAGAGGGAGACACGGAGCACCCGGACCUUGCUGCCCUCUUUUUCCCUCGUUAGGACUUAUUCCCUAAACUUUUACUCCAUCAUGUGAGACAAGAAGACACUGACAGAGAGCCGGAGGAAGGGAGGGAAAUCCCAGACAGCACCCUGCAAGAAGCUAUCACUGGCCAGUGGAGAGGAGCAGGUCAGUUGAAAUACCAACAAAAGAGGAGAGUGAAAACUAACAAUGCAAAAAAAGUGGUGUGUGUGUUUUUUUGUUCGCUUUGUGCAAUGAGAAUGACAGCCAUGAUAAGGAUGAAGUCACUUGCGUCUUGCUUUCUCUCUAAAGUUGUAAACAAAUGCAGCGGCACACAAGCAUAAGCACUAGUGUGGACAGACAUCACGUCAGGGCUUAUCUAACAACUCUGGGCUGAAUGGACACUGAGGAAUACUGAUGAAAAAACAAAGAACAAAAGUGACGAGAGCGACAGAGGGGCCACUAACCCCACAACAGAGUGACACGACUCAAACAAAAACAAGCCACUCAUUAAAAAGCUGCUGAAUAUGAAUGGAAAGAAUGGGGAUUUCAAAGAAAAAAACAUACACCCACACAGACACAUUAACUCAUAGAGACUUUUGUGUUCAGCUUUUGCAUUCAGUAAAAACUAAGAGGGAGUGAAGUUUUUAAAAAAAAUACCCAAAAAGGGGGAAGGAAAGAGUGAAGGAGAAAAAAAAGCUUUGGCCACUGCCAACUUACCAUCCACCAUGUCCUGGCUGAGAUGUCGUAGCAAAGCUGCCAUUUGAUGGACCCUUCCGAGGUUUUGCCUGCCAUUAUGCUGUCAGCGAGCUUCAUCUGAUGCUAGUGCACUCGCCGGAGAUAAGACACCUAAUUGAGAAAACAUUUGCACUGGCAUGUUGGGCAACAUGUAGCCUGCUCCAUACCAUAUGGAAUCAUGGGUAAAAAAAAAAAAACCUUGACAAUGAACCAAUCUCGAGCAGCCCCUGUGGCAAGGUGAGUGCCCGUCAUCUGCUUGUGGAGCGCGCCGUCCUUAAAAAAAACAGCAGAAUGAUAAGCCCUUUUUUUUCCACAUCACUGAGUGCCUGAAGUCGUUUUCCCCCUCUCCUCUGCCUCUCUCUGUCUCUCUCUCUCCCUCCCUCUCUCUUUCUGCCUCUAUCUAGUCUCACGCACUCUAUCUUUAAUUAGGGAUUUUUUUCAUUAUCAGCACCAUCGUCACCACUACUAGUACUAUUAGUUCACUAAAGUUUUCUUAUACUUCUCCCUUACUUUUCUUCCUCCUCUUCCUCCUCUGCUCCCCUCUUUUUGCCUUUCUGUUCUUUUUCAGAGGAGUGGAGAGAUUUAAUAGGACAGUGUGGCAGGUAGAGGGAGUGAGGGCAGUGAUCUGAACCGCCAUGGGCUAUUAGCCUGAAAUUUGGGCUGGACAGAUGGAACUGCUUAAAGACCAUCAUGCAAUGUUUUGUUUUUGGGCUUCUUCUCCCCCCGUGCUCUCCUCUCAAGGCAAAGGUCUAUCCCUUGGCAAGAAGACCCUUCAAAUACUGAGGACACUCUGGGAUGCAAACAGAUGACGGACAGUGCAAGGAGUUGUUGUGUUCACUGUUUAUUUAUUUACUUUGCCAUUUUCCAGAUAGAUCUAGCCAGAGACGGAUGCCGGACACAGCGCUAAGGAUGACAAACACCAUAAUCAAGCACAUCUAAACUCUUUUUUCUCUUCACUGUCUAAAUCCCAGGACAGAAUACCUGAGCAGUCAGCGAGAGCCGCUGCAACCAUCAAACAGUCCCCCCUUUGUCGAUGUUACUCAGGAAUUUGAUUCGGUAUCCAGAUAUCCAAAAGCUUGACAACUUCACCAGCAAAAUCCUGUGUCCGUACAUGGUGACUUGGUUGCCCAUGAAAAGCUGUAGAUGGACUCCUGAGAUGGAAGGAAAGUCUAUCACACUGCGGCAAAAAUGAUUGUGGGACACAGAUCUUUGGAACCCCGUUCACACAGCCAGUGUGUUGUUCUAAACACAAACCUGCUCUUGGAGGUUGAGGGGUGCUGUUUACUGCACACACCUCAUGGGUCAGUGGGGGCCACACUAAGCUCACGCUCACACACACUCACUACGGCACGCUCUCCAGUCUGCUCCUCACUUUGAGUCCUUCCUCACGCGUUCACUCUGAUGGACUGAUGGAAUCUACAUGGAAAACAAAAAUAGAAAAGCAGUGAUCAGGU